rnacentral:rRNA from 1 species
CAAUAGCGUAUAUUAAAGUUGUUGCAGUUAAAAAGCUCGUAGUUGGAUUUCUGUGCUGGACGUCCGGUCGGCGCCCUCUGGGCGGUUUGUACUUGUGGACGUUGGGCGCAUUUUUUGUGAGGUCGCGGUUCUGCCAUUAAGUUGGUGGUUUUGCGGGCUUGCAUCGUUUACUGUGAAAAAAUUAGAGUGUUUAAAGCAGGCGUUUGCUCAUUUGAAUACAUUAGCAUGGAAUAAUAAGAUACGGCCUUGGUGGUCUAUUUUGUUGGUUUGCACACCAGGGUAAUGAUUAAUAGGGACAGUUGGGGGUAUUCGUAUUCCAUUGUAAGAGGUGAAAUUCUUGGAUUUUUGGAAGACGAACUACUGCGAAAGCAUUUACCAAGGAUGUUUNCAUUAA